GAUGAACGCUGGCGGCGUGCCUAAUACAUGCAAGUCGAGCGAAUGAUGAGGAGCUUGCUCCUCUGAUUUAGCGGCGGACGGGUGAGUAACACGUGGGUAACCUGCCUGUAAGAUGGGGAUAACUCCGGGAAACCGGGACUAAUACCGAAUAAUAAAAGAGGAAGCAUUUCUUCUUUUUGAAAGUUGGUUUCGGCUAACACUUACAGAUGGGCCCGCGGCGCAUUAGCUAGUUGGUGAGGUAACGGCUCACCAAGGCGACGAUGCGUAGCCAACCUGAGAGGGUGAACGGCCACACUGGGCCUGAGGCACGGCCCAGGCUCCUACGGGAGGCAGCAGUAGGGAAUCUUCGGCAAUGGGCGAAAGCCUGACCGAGCAACGCCGCGUGAGCGAGGAAGGCCUUCGGGUCGUAAAGCUCUGUUGUCAGGGAAGAACAAGUACGAGAGUAACUGCUCGUACCUUGACGGUACCUGACCAGAAAGCCACGGCUAACUACGUGCCAGCCGCCGCAGUAA
rnacentral:rRNA from 1 species